GCUGGGCAUGGUGGUGAAUGCCUGUAGUUCCAGCUUCUUGGGGGACUGAGGUGGGAGGAUAGUUUGAGCACGGGUGGCCAAGGUUGUAGUGAGCCGUGAUCGCGCUACUGCACUCCAGCCUGGGCAACAGAGCGAGACUCCAUCUCAGAUAGUCUUGCUCUGUCCCGCCCGGGCUAGAGUGCAGUAGCGCGAUCACGGCUCACUACAACCUUGGCCACCCGUGCUCAAACUAUCCUCCCACCUCAGU
rfam:Pongo abelii chromosome 20.